GAUGAACGCUGGCGGCGUGCCUAAUACAUGCAAGUCGAGCGAACAGAUGAGGAGCUUGCUCCUCUGACGUUAGCGGCGGACGGGUGAGUAACACGUGGAUAACCUACCUAUAAGACUGGGAUAACUUCGGGAAACCGGAGCUAAUACCGGAUAAUAUCUUGAACCGCAUGGGUCAAUAGUGAAAGGCGGUUUUGCUGUCACUUAUAGAUGGAUCCGCGCCGCAUUAGCUAGUUGGUAAGGUAACGGCUUACCAAGGCAACGAUGCGUAGCCGACCUGCGAGGGUGAUCGGCGACACUGGAACUGAGACACGGUCCAGACUCCUACGGGAGGCAGCAGUCGGGAAUGUUCCGCAAUGGGCGAAAGCCGGACGGAGCAACGCCGCGUGAGUGAUGAAGGUCUUCGGAUCGUAAAACUCUGUUAUUAGGGAAGAACAAAUGUGUAAGUAACUAUGCACGUCUUGACGGUACCUAAUCAGAAAGCCACGGCUAACUACGUG
rnacentral:rRNA from 1 species